AAAAAAAAAACCAGCUUCGAGUUUCAGCUUUUAGCCAACAUCAAAAACCAGGCCCAGGUGUCUCUCUUUCUCUAGAGUCUAUAUAAACCUUAACAAAAAAAAAAAAGCUCUCUUCUUUCUCUCUCUUUGUCCAAGAUCGAUAUACAGAGCGCGCACGUGGAUUAUUGGAUUCAAAUUAGUGGACGAAUAUAUUAAAAUUGAUUGAUUAAAAUUAUAAACUUACCUGCUACCAGGGUUCAUGCUUUGUUGAAGAUCCGAUGCAAAUAGCUUCGAGAAAUAGAAGGAUGAGAUAUUGGUUCAAGAGGUGCUUAAGGAAGUGAUUUAUUAUUGUGAACAUCUGACCUGUUGAGUUGGAGUGUCAGAGGCUGUAUGAAAUGGGGACAUUACACCGGAGCAGUCUUUCGAAAAGAACAAAUGAUAGUGGUAGACUCAUUAUGACUACUAUUCUAGGAAUUGUCUUUGGAUUUUCCGUUGGUAUAUCGUUUCAAUCACUUUCUCUUAACAAGAUUCAUUUACCAUCAAGUCUUACUUCAACCAUAGAAUUCUCUGUUACAAAUCAAAACCAAAACCAAAAUCAACUUCUUAAAAGUGAUCCCAGAUAUAAUGGAUCAAGCCCCAGGAUAUAUGUUCCAACAAAUCCUCGUGGAGCAGAGUUAUUACCUCCAGGAAUUGUGGUGGCUCAAACUGAUUUGUACUUGCGCAAAUUAUGGGGUGAACCUACUGAGGAUCUGGAGAAAAAGCCCAAGUAUUUACUGACAAUCACAGUUGGUCUGGAUCAGAGGCAGAAUGUUGAUAGAAUGGUUAAAAAGUUUUCUGAGGAUUUCCAACUUUUGCUUUUCCACUAUGAUGGUCGGACAAGUGAAUGGGAUGAAUUUGAGUGGUCAAAGAGUGUAAUCCAUGUUAGUGCAAGGAGACAAACAAAGUGGUGGUAUGCAAAAAGGUUUUUGCAUCCUGAUGUUGUUGCAGCUUAUGAGUAUAUUUUUAUUUGGGAUGAAGAUCUUGAUUUGGAACACUUCAACGGGGAGAAGUAUAUUGGGUUGGUUAAAAAACAUGGUCUAGAGAUCUCUCAACCAGGUCUUGAGCCCAAUAAUGGAUUGACUUGGCAAAUGACAAAGCGGAGGGGUGAUCGAGAAGUUCACAAGUUUACGGAAGAAAGACCUGGCUGGUGUAGUGAUCCACGUUUGCCUCCAUGUGCUGCCUUUGUGGAAAUUAUGGCCCCAGUGUUCUCUCGAGAAGCUUGGCGUUGCGUUUGGCAUUUGAUUCAAAACGAUUUGGUACAUGGAUGGGGAUUGGAUUUUGCUCUAAGAAGAUGUGUAGAACCUGCACAUGAAAGGAUUGGAGUCGUUGAUUCACAGUGGAUCAUUCAUCAAGUCAUCCCUUCACUUGGGCGUCAGGGCAAGGCAGAGAAUGGGAAAGCUCCAUGGGAGGGGGUGAGAGCACGGUGCAAAAGAGAGUGGUCCUUAUUUCAAAACCGACUUGCCACGGCGGAGCAGGCAUACUUUGCUCAGAUAGGGAAGGGAUAAUUUCUAUGCAUUUCCCUUUGGCCUUCUUCUUCUCCCUUGUACAUUUAUCAUUUUUCUGCCGUUGAGGGGUGUUCUAGAGUUUGAUCCUUCAUGUGAUAUAUUUCUUGAACGAGGUCUCUCCUGCAGAAAUAUAAAUGGAACUGGCAAAUCAGUAUUUAAUUGAAAGUAGAAAGGGCAUUCAUGUGGAUGGAACCACGGUUACGACUAGCUUUCAGUCUCCUCUCUUUAUACACCAAAAAUCUUUACUCGUUUGAAUUGUUACACAUUGCUUCCUUUGAACCUUACCAAAAACUUUGUUCAUUGCGGUAUUUAUAAUGAAUUGCUGUUUCAAUCA